CACGCGUAAUCCCCGGCGAGCACCUCCGCCCCCGGGUCUCAGGCCCAGCGAGCCUCCCGGCGAGCAUGCA